rnacentral:rRNA from 1 species
CCUGGCGGCACUAGCGCGGUGGUCCCACCUGACCCCAUGCCGAACUCAGAAGUGAAACGCCCGUAGCGCCGAUGGUAGUGUGGGGUCUCCCCAUGCGAGAGUAGGGAACUGCCAGGC